rnacentral:rRNA from 1 species
GACGAACGCUGGCGGCGUGCUUAACACAUGCAAGUCGAACGGAAAGGCCCUGCUUUUGUGGGGUGCUCGAGUGGCGAACGGGUGAGUAACACGUGAGUAACCUGCCCUUGACUUUGGGAUAACUUCAGGAAACUGGGGCUAAUACCGGAUAGGAGCUCCUGCUGCAUGGUGGGGGUUGGAAAGUUUCGGCGGUUGGGGAUGGACUCGCGGCUUACCAGCUUGUUGGUGGGGUAGUGGCUUACCAAGGCUUUGAAGGGUAGCCGGCCUGGGAGGGUGGCCGGCCACAUUGGGACUGAGGGACGGCCCAGACUGCUACGGGAGGCAGCAGUGGGGAGUAUUGCACAAUGGGCGGAAGCCGGAUACAGCAACGCCGCGUGCGGGAUGACGGCCUUCGGGGUGUGAACCGCUUUCGCCUGUGACGAAGCGUGAGUGACGGUAAUGGGUAAAGAAGCACCGGCUAACUACGUG